AUGUCUUUGUGUGAAGACAUGUUGUUUUGUAAUUAUCGAGAGUGUCACAUUGAACUCUCUGGUUAUGCAUGGGUCACCAUCUGCUCUCACAUCUUCUGUGAUCAGCAUGGCAGUGGUGACUUUUGUGGUUCACCUGCUAUCUGUCCUGCCUGCAACAGUACACUUUCUGGAAGGCUAGAUAUUGUCCGCACUGAAUUCAGGAAUAUAAAGCUAUGGUAUUGGCUGGACUGUGACUGGAGAUAGUGUUGGGCAUUAGCUCCCAAGUACUUGGCCUUCUGGACAUUACAUCAGGUGUGUCUCUAUCAAGAAUACAAUUUCAGGAAAGCUGAAGGCCAUAUGAAACAGAUGGAGAAGACAUACACUCAGCAAAUACAGAGCCAGGAUGUUGAAUUGACCUCUGUGAAAAGGGAGAUAACCUCCAUGAGGAGAGUGCUAGAAGAAUACAAGAAAAAAAUAACAGUGACUUCUCUGAGACACUUAUGAAGCACAAUCAUCAGUAUUGAAAGCUCCAAGGCCUCUAUGACAGGCUUAGGCUAUGAAACAUCACUAUUCCACACCACAAAGAUACCCUUGAGCCAUCCAUGAUUGUACUCUGAUGUUUUUGGCUUCCCAUUAGGGAACAACUCCAAAUUUUCUGUGGACAGUAUACCAGUUGGAAAUUGGGUAGUGGAAAUGGAGAUUUUCAGUUCAGACCAUUUUUCUUGGGUUCUCCCACAGCACCUGCGCACAGCAACAGCUUUUUUAGUUUUGCCUCUACAAGAUGUGAACUAGAGCAGUAGCAAGUCUCUAGCAGGGCCUUCACAGUAAAAAGAAUUUGA
rnacentral:lncRNA from 1 species